GACGAACGCUGGCGGCGUGCUUAACACAUGCAAGUCGAACGGUGAAGUCGGUGCUUGCACCGACGGAUCAGUGGCGAACGGGUGAGUAACACGUGAGCAACCUGCCCCUGACUCUGGGAUAACCCCGGGAAACCGGAGCUAAUACCGGAUACGACCCGCACAGGCAUCUACGCGGGUGGAAAGAUUUAUCGGUCAGGGAUGGGCUCGCGGCCUAUCAGCUUGUUGGUGGGGUAACGGCCCACCAAGGCGACGACGGGUAGCCGGCCUGAGAGGGCGACCGGCCACACUGGGACUGAGACACGGCCCAGACUCCUACGGGAGGCAGCAGUGGGGAAUAUUGCUCAAUGGGCGAAAGCCUGAAGCAGCGACGCCGCGUGAGGGAUGAAGGCCUUCGGGUUGUAAACCUCUUUCAGCAGGGAAGAAGCGAAAGUGACGGUACCUGCAGAAGAAGCACCGGCUAACUACGUGCCAGCCGCCGCCGUAACAC
rnacentral:rRNA from 1 species